CUUACUAUUCCCCCCUUUAUGAAAAACAUCACCCACUCUCCAACAUAAAAAAUAAAGGCUCAAAUACAUUGACCUAAAUAAAAAGGAUUAGGCCUAAAAAUCAAAACAAGCAAAAAUCUACUAGCUAAUGAGUGUAUUUCUAAUAUGUACAGACUAAUUGUUUUCAAUUCUUUUAUUUCAGGUGAGAAAAUGUAUUCAAAUUUCAUAUGAGAGGG
rnacentral:lncRNA from 1 species